rnacentral:rRNA from 1 species
GUGCAGCAGGCGCGAAUUUUUCACAAUGGGGGAAACCCUGAUGGAGCGACGCCGCGUGGAGGAUGAAGGCCUUUUGGUCGUAAACUCCUGUCAAACGGGAACAAGAAAGUGAUAGUACCGUUAGAGGAAGAGACGGCUAACUCUGUGCCAGCAGCCGCGGUAAUACAGAGGUCUCAAGCGUUGUUCGGAUUCAUUGGGCGUAAAGGGUGCGUAGGUGGCAUGGUAAGUUGAAGGUGAAAUCUCGGAGCUUAACUCCGAAACUGCCUUCAAUACUGCUGUGCUUGAGGACUGUAGAGGAGAAUGGAAUUCAUGGUGUAGCAGUGAAAUGCGUAGAUAUCAUGAGGAAGACCAGUGGCGAAGGCGAUUCUCUGGGCAGUUCCUGACACUGAGGCACGAAGGCUAGGGGAGCAAACGGGAUUAGAUACCCGGGUAGU